GACGAACGCUGGCGGCGUGCUUAACACAUGCAAGUCGAACGGAAAGGCCCUGCUUUUGUGGGGUGCUCGAGUGGCGAACGGGUGAGUAACACGUGAGUAACCUGCCCUUGACUUUGGGAUAACUUCAGGAAACUGGGGCUAAUACCGGAUAGGAGCUCCUGCUGCAUGGUGGGGGUUGGAAAGUUUCGGCGGUUGGGGAUGGACUCGCGGCUUAUCAGCUUGUUGGUGGGGUAGUUGAUUACCAAGGCUUUGAAGGGUAGCCGGCCUGGGAGGGUGACCGGCCACAUUGGGACUGAGGUACGGCCCAGACUCCUACGGGAGGCAGCAGUGGGGAAUAUUGCACAAUGGGCGGAAGCCUGAUGCAGCAACGCCGCGUGCGGGAUGACGGCCUUCGGGUUGUAAACCGCUUUCGCCUGUGACGAAGCGUGAGUGACGGUAAUGGGUAAAGAAGCACCGGCUAACUACGUG
rnacentral:rRNA from 1 species